UACGUAGGUGGCAAGCGUUGUCCGGAUUUAUUGGGCGUAAAGCGCGCGCAGGCGGUCCUUUAAGUCUGAUGUGAAAUCUUGCGGCUCAACCGCAAGCGGUCAUUGGAAACUGGGGGACUUGAGUACAGAAGAGGAAAGCGGAAUUCCACGUGUAGCGGUGAAAUGCGUAGAGAUGUGGAGGAACACCAGUGGCGAAAGCGGCUUCCUGGUCCAGCACCGACGUUCAGGCACGAAAGCGUGGGGAGCAAACAGG
rnacentral:rRNA from 1 species